UAUUUUUUAUUUUUUAAUCCUGAAAGCCAACAAGAUGUUUCUACUGCUCACAACCGGAUGUUUUGGCAUUGGCUAUCGAAAACACAGUUUAUGACGUCAAAUGAACUAAGUUAGCUGGCUGCUGUGCUGUCAGUAUAGGUUUCACAGCCGAAUAACGCCGCCACGGUUCAAACAGAUGAAAUGGCUUUGAGGGAUGGCCACGAGAGAGAGAGAGAGAGGGAAGUUCUUGCCGCCUGCGCGUCAGCCUGAACGAAUUACAGAAGACAGUGAUCAGUUUGCCUUUUCGACAGUAUCCAUUAGUUCUCAGACAAAAGGCCAUGGCAAACAUCUCAGUCUUCACCCUGGGCCCCAGGACUGUGUUUAGGAUGCAGGGGCCACGCCUGGGUGCACGGUGUCGGCUGGAGGAGUGGAGUCGCUCACGGCUGUUCCUGUGCCAGAUGCCUCCUGGAGCUUUUACAAGUUCUUCUCCUGGCCCCCUCCGAAGCUACCGGCCUGCAGAGGAACCGUCAUUCCCUGCCCUCUCAGAUGUGAGACCAGGGCUGUACGCGUGACCCACACGCACCUCUCUGUACGCGCCGUUUGCGCACUUACAGAUGCUUGCUCUCGUCAGGACAGGGGUGUACAACGUAGCAUUUUACCAGCGUUAGCAGUGGAGCCUCAGUGUCGGAGGAGACAGAACCUUAUCUGCAUUCAAAAAAUUAAUUUCUGCUGCGUCGUGAAGGACAGCCAGAGGUAAUUGAGCUAUCUGCGGGUCGAAAAACAGACUGGUUUCAUUUUCCCUUCUUCUGCUCUGUGUGCAAGUUGGGGAGGGUUGGGGGCAGUGCACCUGUUAAAAUGAAUUAAAAAGGGAAAUGUUAAAAGCAAGUUUAAUUCCUUUAUUGCCAAGGA